AGCAGCCGCGGUAAUUCCAGCUCCAAUAGCGUAUAUUAAAGUUGUUGCAGUUAAAAAGCUCGUAGUUGAAUUUCGGGAUCAAUAUGUCUGUCGUGCCUUCGGUACGUACGGGUAUAAUUGGUUUCUACCUUCUGAUGAACCUUGAUGCCAUUAAUUUGGUGUCUUGGGGACUCAGGACUGUUACCUUGAAAAAAUUAGAGUGUUUAAAGCAGGCAUGCGCUUGAAUACAUUAGCAUGGAAUAAUGAAAUAGGACGUUCGAUUCUAUUUUGUUGGUUUCUAGGACCGACGUAAUGAUUAAUAGGGAUAGUUGGGGGCAUUAGUAUUCAAUUGUCAGAGGUGAAAUUCUUGGAUUUAUUGAAGACUAACUACUGCGAAAGCAUUUGCCAAGGAUGUUUUCAUUAAUCAAGAACGAAAGUUAGGGGAUCGAAGACGAUCAGAUACCGUCGUAGUCUUAACCAUAAACUAUGCCGACUAGGGAUCGGAUGAUGUUAAUUUUUUAAUGACUCA
rnacentral:rRNA from 1 species